rnacentral:rRNA from 1 species
GACGAACGCUGGCGGCGUGCUUAACACAUGCAAGUCGAACGGAAAGGCCCUGCUUUUGUGGGGUUCUCGAGUGGCGAACGGGUGAGUAACACGUGAGUAACCUGCCCUUUACUUUGGGAUAACUUCAGGAAACUGGGGCUAAUACCGGAUAGGAGCUCCUGCUGCAUGGUGGGGGUUGGAAAGUUUCGGCGGUUGGGGAUGGACUCGCGGCUUAUCAGCUUGUUGGUGGGGUAGUGGCUUACCAAGGCUUUGACGGGUAGCCGGCCUGAGAGGGUGACCGGCCACAUUGGGACUGAGAGACGGCCCAGACUCCUACGGGAGGCAGCAGUGGGGAAUAUUGCACAAUGGGCGGAAGCAUGAUGCAGCAACGCCGCGUGCGGGAUGACGGCCUUCGGGUUGUAAACCGAUUUCGCCUGUGACGAAGCGUGAGUGACGGUAAUGGGUAAAGAAGCACCGGCUAACUACGUG